UACAGAGGGUGCGAGCGUUGUCCGGAAUCACUGGGCGUAAAGGGCGCGUUGGUGGUGGCUUAAGCGUGCGGUGAAAGCUCGGGGCUCAACUCCGAGUCGGCCGUGCGAACUGGGCUCACUGGAGCAUAGUAGAGGCAGGUGGAAUUCCUGGUGUAGCGGUGAAAUGCGCAGAUAUCAGGAGGAACACCAAUGGCGAAGGCAGCACUCUGGGACGUGACUGACGCUGAGACGCGAAAGCGUGGGGAGCAAACAGG
rnacentral:rRNA from 1 species